AUUCUAGAAAAUUGAGUAAUGGAGAAACUUGUGAUAGAAAGUGGUUAGUUUGUUCGAAACAUGUGAAUAAGUUUAUUGUUUUUGUUGCAAGUUGAUUAAAUCUCAUGGUUACUGAUAAGUGUGUAUUUUGCAUGUUUUGAGCAUCCAUUUGUCAUCACUUUAGCAUCAUAUCAUCACUGUUAUAUACCAUUUCUCAUCAUUUGUCAUCACUUUGCAUGUUUAGAAUAGAUUUGCAUGCAUGUUGCAUAUUUGCGUUGAUUUAAGGUGAUUUGGAGCUGUUGACGAGCUAUAUGGAAGAAGCGGUCCUGAUCAUGUCAAACCACUCGACCCCGAAGUCUAGUAGAAGCUUCAAGAUCUCAACAGAUCACUCAACCCCCUGGUCGAGUAGAGGACAUCACUACUUGAUCACAUCACUCGACCCCGAGGUCGAGUGUCUUCAUCCCAUCACCUGACAAUCACUCGAUCACAUCACUCGACCCCGAGGCCGAGUGUCUUCACCUUCAUUGCCAGAACACUACUCGACCUCUUCACUCUACCUGGAAGUCGAGUAUCACCAUCACCACCACUCGACUGCAUACUCGAUGACACGCUUUAGAGCCUUUUUCAUUCCGCACUCAACCAGACACUCGAGCACAAGAAAGAAAAGAAGACUCCAGCUAUUCACUCGACCACCCACUCGACCACAUGGGUCGAGUACAUUUCUUAAUCCGUCCCAAUACUGUGUCGUUUUAAGUAUUAGGGUUUCGGAAUAUUUGGCUAUAAGUAGCAUGUACUUCACAUUUUCGCAGACAAGUUUUUUUUUGAGCAUGUCAAUCACCGGUAAACUGAGGAAACGAAACUACUCAAUUACCCCAUCCGUGGGAAUUCUUUAUCUGAUUGAAUUCUUUGUUUACUCUACUGUUGUUUACUGCAUCUUGUCUUCUGUUGCUUAGUUUCUGCAAUUCUUUACUGUUACUCGACCUGAUACUCGAUCACCCAGUUGUUUGGCAACAAACAGUGCAGUCGAGUAUCCCUGUUAUAUUUUCUGUCUGUUACUCAACCUGUCACUCGACCUCACCCAGUGCUCUGCAAAGAGCUGUGUUGGUCAAGUGUUUUAUUGUUUCUGUUUGAAUUUCUGUUUUCUGCAUGUUCACUUAGAACUGCUAGAACACACCAAAACCUGUUAUUGCUUGGCUUGACUUAGUGACUUCUGAUCACAUCUUGAUUGUUAGCAUCACACCCAUUUGGAUUGACAACCUAAAAUACUACAACGAUAUAAUUGGUGUUUUAGGAUAAUUGACUAAAAACCUAUUAUCAAUUUGGCGCCGUUGCCAAUUGGGUGUUUGUUUGUUACAUUUGAGAUUUCAGACUUGCUUAGAUCAAGUUCUUUUUCAAUUUUCUUUUCGGUUACUAACUGUGUGUUUUUCUUGUUGUCUUCUUGAUCCCGGUACACCUCGACUGUAUGCGAACUUGAUCUGCUGAUAAGAGGAUUGUUCAAGAGAAGUUAGAAGAUCCGGGAUCUUUCUCUCUACCAUGUUCCAUUGGGGAAUUUGCUUUCAGCGAUUGUCUGUGCAAUCUCGGAGCCUCUGUCAGCUUGAUGCCACUCUCUGUGGCAAGAAGGUUAGAGUUCAUUCAGUAUAAACCUUGUGACCUGACUUUGAUCCUUGCGGAUAGGUCUUCUAGAAAACCCUUUGGCAUGCUGAAAGAUCUACCAGUCAUGAUUAAUGGAGUAGAAGUGCCUACAGACUUCGUGGUGCUGGAUAUGGAAGUAGAGCAUAAGGAUCCCUUAAUACUGGGAAGACCAUUCUUAGCUUCAGUGGGAGCAGUGAUAGAUGUCAUGGAAGGGAAAAUAAGUCUCAACCUUGGAAAGCAUAUCAAGUUGCAGUUUGGCAUCAACAAAACUCCACAAGGGUCAACAGAAGAUGGAAAAAACCUCUGGAAAUGAUAGAGUGAUCUCAGGAGAAGGAUAUGAGACUUACAGAGUGAAAGAACUUAAAAAGAGGUCUGAUAAGCAAGAUGAAACUAUAGAGCAGGUAGCCCACACUGUUGAGGAACUUAGAAGUAAGCUGAAUCAGUAGCAGAAGGUAGCUCAACCUAAAGGCGGGAUCGACAAUAUCCCGAGAAAGAAGUUCACUUCAAGAUGGUCUGAAGCGAUAGAUUACCCUCCAGAAGAGAAAGAAGCAUAUUUUGAAGAGAGGGGAAUUGAGUAUUCUGCUGCAGACCUCUCCAGGGAGGACGCUGACUAUGAUGAUGGUAUCAGAGAGGAUUAUGCAGACUCUCUAUACAGUUCAUUUUCUUCUUGAUAAGUGUGAGGAGUCAAGCUAGAGACUUAAAACAAGUUCACUAUGGAGGAAGUCCCAUGAUUAUCCUUGUAAAUAAUUUUUACUUUCUUGUUAAUUUUGAUUUGUUGUGUUUGUGGUUCUCAGAAAAAAAAA
rnacentral:sRNA from 1 species